rnacentral:rRNA from 1 species
UUAGAUAUUCGGAAGAACACCAGUGGCGAAGGCGGCUCACUGACUCGGCACUGACGCUGAGGUGCGAAAGCGUGGGGAGCAAACAGGAUUAGAUACCUUGGUAGUCCACGCCGUAGACGAUGAUAGCUAGCCGUUGGGGUGCUUGCACCUCGGUGGCGCAGUCAACGCAUUAAGCUAUCCGCAGGGGGAGUACGGCCGCAAGGUUAAAACUCAGAGGAAUUGACGGGGGCCUGCACAAGCGCUGGAGCAUGUGGUUUAAUUAGAAGCAACGCGCUGAACCUUCCCAGCUCUUGACAUCCCCGGAUUGCGGUAGAGAUUCGGUCUCCUUUCGGGGCCCGGUGACAGGUGCUGCAUGGCUGCCGUCAGCUCGUGUCGUGAGAUGUUGGGUUAAGUCCCGCAACGAGCGCAACCCUCGCCCUUAGUUGCCAGCAUUCAGUUGGGCCCUUUAAGGGGACUUCCGGUGAUAAGCCGGGAGGAAGGUGGGGAUGACGUCAAGUCCUCAUGGCCCUUACGGGCUGGGCUACACACGUGCUACAAUGGCGGUGACAAUGGGAGAAUCCCAAAAAACCGUCUCAGUUCGGAUUGGGGUCUGCAACUCGACCCCAUGAAGUCGGAAUCGCUAGUAAUCGCGUAACAGCAUGACGCGGUGAAUACGUUCCCGGGCCUUGCUACACACCGCCCGU